ACAGAUAAAAUCAAGAUGCUGCACUGGUUCCAGUGUUAAACAUGUCAUUAUAUAUGCAUUUCCUUGUGACUUGCAUCAUUGUGGAAAUGUAUCAUUAUUCAAUUAUUCGAUUACAACUCUUAAGCAUUUAUCCAACUAAUAUAAACAUUUACUGGUAUUUUCUAUUUUCUUUAGUAUGAAGAUAAGGUUUCCUGUAUUAAUUUACCCCUGUGCAUUUUAUCAUCAUUAUCAUGAAGACAGUAGAGCUAAUGUCAUUAUUUCUAGCUUUUAUAACUAUUUGAUCUUGUAAACUUCAUAACAGAAAAACAAAUAAUAAUAAACCUGAUUCGGGUAUGGGCAAGCAAAUAAACAACUAAAAGUUCUUUGAUUUGCCUAACUGAUGAAGCAGCUUCAAACUAAAGUCUGGUCUAGAAAGCAGCAGGCUUUAUAAACAGUCUGCCAAUCAAAGGAAGCAUAAAAAUAAAACUAUUUUUUAAGAGACUUUGAGAUAGCAGUAAUAUCUCUUCCAGUUUUUUUUUAUCAGUUAGCCAUGUUUAUUUUUUUUUGGCAGCUAACAUGAAGUAGUCAGGGCAUUAUUAGAAUGUUACAAGGGUGAACCCCCAAUAUACCCAGAUGCAGUGACCUACACAGGACAUAAUGUUACGGAAAGGAAGUUCGGAAGUUCUGAAGUUCUACAUUAAAAUUUUCAGGAAUUAGCAGGAAUUGUUACUUUUCAGAUGCCAUCAUCAAACUACUAAGACAAACAAUCAUGCAAGUCUGAAUCUGCUCGUUCUCCAAAUCAUUGUUGGGUGAUUGAAAGGUAGAAUAUGAUCAUGGCAAUUUCUUGGCCUUUUCGUAUAAAUCCACUCAGUAUGAGGAAAUUUGGACUAAGUUGUCCCAGGAGUGAAUAUUACUGGGAAGUUCCAGAAUAACGAGAUCUUUUCGACAUAACUGUGGACCAGGGCCGCUACUGGGUAAAUAAAAACGCUGGCAUAUUGACCUGUAAUUCAAGAGGAGGUCUACCAGUAUCCUAUUGGUGAAUCAGCAUGAGCAUCAUAAACUUGGAUGAAACCUGCAAAAAUUCAAGGCUUGUUUUACAGUUACUUCUAAACUUUAUACAGUACAUAAAUUACAACUAGACAAGCAAGUUCAAAGACAACACUGAUAUAUCAUUCAAGUAACCACGGCAGGUGCUGCCUGAUCUGCCGAGUAUUUCCAGCAAUUCCUGUUUUGUGAAACCUGGCUCCAAGAAGACUUUUCAAUGGGAACGGAACUGAACGCCAUCUCUUUAUGUUGUAGAACUGAAGAAGUUGAUUUUAACAUUUUGGCCAAACAGCAGAGGGCUAAAGAUGUGUAAUUAAUUAACAGUCUGACUAAAGAUCCUCCAAGAGAGCCUGCAUCUCCAAUUUCUUCUCAUCCUAAAGUUAUAUUGGCUGGUACAGGAACAAUGGAGGAUGUUUUGAAGCAGGAGGGCACUGUACACUGGGAAAGGGUGAGAUUAAAAAUGCCUGCAAACACACCAGCCAGCUGUGCUGCGCACACU